UUAAGUUCAGCGGGUAUCCCUACCUGAUCCGAGGUCAACCUUAGAAGAAAGAUUGGGGGUCGUCCGGCAAGCAGACGCCACGGGCCUUCAAAGCGAGAUGAGAAUUUCUACUACGCUCAAAGCCGGGCGCCGCCGCCGAGGAUUUCGAGGCCCGUCCGCUGGCGGACGGAGGCCCAAUACCAAGCAAAGCUUGAGGGGUG
rnacentral:misc_RNA from 1 species